ACUAUAAAUGAUGAAUGACACAGAGACUUAAUACUGAAAUUUGGUAUGAUUUCCUGUGUAG
rnacentral:snoRNA from 1 species